CCUACGGGAGGCAGCAGUGGGGAAUAUUGGGCAAUGGGCGCAAGCCUGACCCAGCAACGCCGCGUGAAGGAAGAAGGCUUUCGGGUUGUAAACUUCUUUUAUCAGGGACGAAGCAAGUGACGGUACCUGAUGAAUAAGCCACGGCUAACUACGUGCCAGCAGCCGCGGUAAUACGUAGGUGGCAAGCGUUAUCCGGAUUUAAUGGGUGUAAAGGGCGUUUAGGCGGGGGUGCAAGUCAGAUGUGAAAACUAUGGGCUCAACCCAUAGCCUGCAUUUGAAACUGGACUGCUUGAGUGCUGGGGAGGCAAGCGGAAUUCCGUGGGGAGCGGGGAAAAGCGUAGAUAUACGGAGGAACACCAGUGGCGAAGGCGGAUUGAUGGACAGGAACCGACGCUGAGGCGCGAAAGCGGGGGGAGCAAACAGGAUUAGAUACCCUAGGAGGC
rnacentral:rRNA from 1 species